UACAAAGAUCUGAUGGAAUUUCGGCAUUUUU
rnacentral:piRNA from 1 species